GACACACAGGUGGCCAUACCUCCAGAGAAGUACUUCAGCGGUAGAAGACUCAAGCGGCUGGUCCUCCAGAGGACCUCGAGAGGAGCAUGUUGGCAGAAAAACACACCGACAGACAUCUGCACGCCUGCAGGCCAUUGAUUGAGGGGACUAGGCGGAGUUUGGCCGGGGCUGUUGGAGGAGAGCCGGGGCCACCUAGCGGCCCAAUUCCAGGGGAAAAUCGUCUGCCUCUGGCUCCUCCAUCAGCUGAGAGCUACUUCCACUCAAUAAAACUUUGUACUCUUUCUCCAGUCCCGCAUGUGAUCCGAUUCUUCCGGUACACCAAGGCAAGAACCCGGGAUACAGAAAGCCCUCUGUCCUUGCGACAAGGUAGAGGUUCUAAUUGAGCGGACUUACACAAGACACCUAUAGACGGCAAAUUAAAAGAGCACCCUGUAACACACGCCCACUGGGGCUUCAGGAGCUGUAAACGUUCACCCCUAGACACUGCCGUGGAGUCAAGAGCCCCACAGCCUGCCCAUCUGUAUGCUCCCCUAGAAGUUUGAGCAGCGGGGCACUGAAGAAGCAAGCCACACCCACAUCGCACGCCCUGCGAGGGGGAUGACGGAACCUUUCCCGUUUCAAUAUGACCAUAGCUGCAGUUAUGGCAUUAACCACCCAGUUGUUACCUACUUCUAGAUGAAAGCUCAAUUUUCCUACAUAAUUAAGAGUUUGGAAUUCGGGCAAUAUCAAGAACCACAUCUGUCCUGAAAUCAAUUAUCUCUGUUUGUGGCCAUGGUCCAUGCCUCCUUUACUACAUCAGAUCCACCUAGUCCCUGGACUAAUCAGAAACACAAGAAAUAAGAAGACCAUUUUGAGAAGAACAGAGAGUAGCCUUAAGAAAAUCCCUGUCGCAAGCACUCUGGGAUUUGGACUCAAAUGCUAAUUAUACAAUGAGGAAAUUGAGAUACAGAAAGGUGAAGAAAUAAUGUCACAUAGUAGUGGAGUCAGAAUAAAAAUGCAGACAGGAACCACUUGGGUGCCCAGCUGCUGUCCAUUCUCUACACUUAUCCCACCUGAUGGAAGGCUGUUAAGAAAAACAUCACUGCAAUGCCUAAUAAACAGACAUGGGUCCCAGACCCAAUAAGAGUGAAACCAUCCCCCUAUUUAAAUGAAAUUAUGGCUGAUGAGAAAGACAAAUUAAUUUCUCUGUCCCUAGUAUUACACAAAACUUUGGAUGCUGCCAUUGUUACAAUUUUAUUUUCCCCAGGAGCUCAGAGUCCCACCUUCAUUCUUUUUGUUUAAUGCUUAAGCUUGCCUGUCCACCUAUGGAAGACUAGAAUGAGCAAAGACCAUGUAUUCAAUGAUCUGUAAAUCUAACAGGAAACAAUAUAAUAAAUAUAUUGUGUUUGCUAACCAAA
rnacentral:lncRNA from 1 species